rnacentral:sRNA from 1 species
UUUUACUCUGAAUUAGCAUUGAUUAUAAUUUCUAAAUUUGCAGUGUUUUAUCUUGAUUUUUAAUAUACUAGUCAGGUAAAUCAGUUUUAAAUUAAUAAGUCUGGGCAAAAUGAAAUGUUAUUUAUUCUCAGUAUGGAUCAAACACUUUUUAAUGCAGUAUUUAACAUAAACUAUUUUUUAAUUUUUAAAACAGAUCAUUGAAAAUCAAGUUAGUCUGUAUGGUUGUAAAAAGCUCACUUUUUUUGUUCUUCACAUUUUACAGGAACAGACUCCUCCGCCUAGACCUGAAGCCUACCCCAUCCCCACUCAGACGUACACCAGAGAGUAUUUUACCUUCCCAGCUUCCAAAUCCCAGGAUCGGAUGGCUCCUCCUCAGAACCAGUGGCCAAAUUAUGAGGAAAAGCCACAUGUGCACACAGACAGUAAUCAUUCCAGUAUUGCAAUUCAGCGUGUUACACGUUCCCAAGAAGAACUUCGAGAAGAUAAAGCUUACCAACUUGAGCGGCAUCGAAUAGAGGCAGCUAUGGACCGAAAGUCUGAUAGUGAUAUGUGGAUAAAUCAGAGCUCCUCAUUGGACUCCAGUACCUCUAGCCAAGAGCAUCUGAACCAUUCCUCUAAGUCGGUCACCCCUGCUUCCACACUGACCAAAAGUGGCCCUGGCCGUUGGAAAACACCAGCAGCCAU